GACGAACGCUGGCGGCGUGCUUAACACAUGCAAGUCGAACGCUGAAGCUUGGUGCUUGCACUGGGUGGAUGAGUGGCGAACGGGUGAGUAAUACGUGAGUAACCUGCCCUUGACUCUGGGAUAAGCCUGGGAAACUGGGUCUAAUACUGGAUACGACAUGUCACCGCAUGGUGGUGUGUGGAAAGGGUUUUACUGGUUUUGGAUGGGCUCACGGCCUAUCAGCUUGUUGGUGGGGUAAUGGCUCACCAAGGCGACGACGGGUAGCCGGCCUGAGAGGGUGACCGGCCACACUGGGACUGAGACACGGCCCAGACUCCUACGGGAGGCAGCAGUGGGGAAUAUUGCACAAUGGGCGGAAGCCUGAUGCAGCGACGCCGCGUGAGGGAUGACGGUCUUCGGGUUGUAAACCUCUUUCAGCACGGAAGAAGCGAAAGUGACGGUACGUGCAGAAGAAGCGCCGGCUAACUACGUG
rnacentral:rRNA from 1 species